rnacentral:lncRNA from 1 species
AUGGCGGGGGCGCGCGGUAACAUCUUUAGCCGCCCUCCAGGGUCAGGGCCGGAGCCAGGCCCCGCCCCCUCGCGGUCCAGCGACUUCUUUUCUCCGUCGGCCGCAGCCCAAACCGUCAUCCCGCCGUCUUUCCUGAACGCCAUCGCGGUUAUCCAGGCGCAGGCGCAGGCCUACCUCAACACCGCCAUCGCCUGCGAGCGGGCCCGGCGCUGGUUCCAGGCAAUCGAGUAUUACAGAAAGCUACUGAGCUUUUUGAACAAAAAAAGGUUUCCUCCUGAAUACAUACCUGGACCUGGAUAUAUUCAGCUGGUGUUUGAAUCCUAUUAUCAUAUAGGAGUAGCUUUCCAAAAAGUAAAUAAUCAUCGUGACGCUGCAGAAGAGUUUACAUAUGCCAUAGAAGCAAUGAACAUCCCUAAAAUAGCUUGUAAAGUUGGCUGUGUUUCUAGCGCUUUCUAUCAGACACCUGUAUAUGCAAGGAGAGCUUACGCAUAUGUGAAAUGUGCCAAGAUUAAAGAAGCAAUUAAUGACGCUACAAGAGCUGUGUUUUCUGACCCUGCGAAUUCUGAUGUGUACUGUAUCAGAGCUCUUGUGUGGAGUUCAGCAAAUGAAAAAAGCAGAGCCCUUCAUGAUUUAAACUGUAGUUUCAGGUUAAACCCAUCUCAUGUUUGCACUUUGAUAUUAAGGGGAGCUAUUUUGAAAUCCAUUGGGGGAGUGGCUUCUUCAGAGCACAAUAAAGAUCAAGAAAAGGCCUUUCAACUAUGUCCAGAAAGUCCAAAUUUCUUUGAUGUGGAAGAUUUUCAUAGUCCUAAAAUGCCUUUGUUCUAUGACAAAUUCCUGUGGUCUCUGAAUGCUUUUCAUACCGUAACAGGAAUCAACCUCUUUGCUGGAGCUGGAUUUGUGCCCAACUUGGGACCAAAAGAACAAGGCCCAAUGAAACCAUUUAAGCAUGGCUAUUCGGAAUAUUCUGACAACACUGCGUUAUUGAGGAGGCAAGCAUACACAAAGGCAUGCAUAGAGGCAGGCACAAUUAUUAAUGGCUCAAGACAGGGAUCUGUCUCAGGGAAGAAAAGCUUUGUUUCAUCAGCUACUCGGGAUUCAGGGAAGAAAACCUCAAGUUCAUCUGUAGUCAGAGAAUCUGUGAGGAAAGGCUCAAGUGCAUCAGUAGUACGGGAAUUUGUGAAGAACGGCUCAAGUUCAACCACAGUGCGAGAAUCUGGAAGUGAAGAUUUAAAGAAUUAUGAUAUAAGUGUGGCUAAAAAGAAGAAAGGAGGCAGUUCAUCAGUAAACUGGAACGUGUGAAAAAGAGAUCAAGUUUCAACAAUAGACAGGGAUUUGCGAAAAAGACAUCAGAUUCAGUAGUUGCUUGGUGACCUAGCAUAUGGCGAAGCACAUUUCUGUGAAUGGCCCAGUGUUGAGCAUUAAAAAGCUGUAAAAUAUGUCAUGACAUUUUUUCAUAACCUGACUUCCUUCAAAAUUACUGGCAGGUAACUCUAAAAACUACACAAGAGAUGUUUGAAAUUGGGUAUUCUGUAAAUUCUUCCAUUCCCUGAAAGAGAACUCUGUCAGUCUACUGGUACCACUUCAAAUCUGUGUGUAGGUAUGGAUUGACAGUACUUACGUAGGCCCCAGAACUACUUAACGUUACAAGAGUGCUGGAACGAGAUAUCCUUAAUUCUGCUGCUAUUCAUAAAAAUAUGGUUUACUUGAUAUUGUAAUUGGAGUGAACCUGGAAGAUUUUUCUAAAAAUACCAGGUGUCCUCAGUAUCCCAGUGACCAUGGUCAGUUAAGAAACAGUGCCAAAAACUGUAAUGUGAAACCUUCCCAGCUUUCGGGAAAAGGCCAGCCCUAGUGCGACGUGAGUCCAACGCAUUAGGGCUACUAAAGCAGUCAACUGAGGGGAGGAAGCAUGUUUUCGUACCCAUUACAUUAUCUGUUGGGGGAAAGGAACUUGUUUCUACUUUGGCACUGCUGGACUCAGGGGCUACGGUCUCUUACGUGGAUAUUGAGUUUGCUAGGAAGCAUGGCAUUCCUAGAGUGCGCAAGGCAUGCGACGUGUGGGUGGAAGGAGCGGAUGGGAGACUGCUGGAGACUGGGGUGGUUA